UACCUCCCGUUCUUCCUCACAUCUCUAUCCACCUCGUAUAGUCUCUAUAGGCCCAUCUCCAUCUCAUAACUUUUUCCCCUCAUGACCUAGAAUAUUUAUAGAGAUAUUUCUAACAACUUUCCUUAUUCUAUAAGGAAGUCUAAUAUUACAAUAAUAUAUCAACCUAGAAAUAUUCUAUAUAAUAUUCUUUACAAAAAAAGGAAUCUAUACUAAUUAGGAAUUUGGGACACUUCCUAACAA
rnacentral:lncRNA from 1 species